GGGGAGGGGGGGUUGAGGUGGUAGGUUGAUAGGUUGGCUGAGGUGUGAAAUAAUCUCUAAGAACCAUAGUAUCAUGAUCGCAUGGUUAGCAUUUAUAUCAUAAAUAACCUUAUGAAUUAUGAGGCCUUCAAGCACAAUGAAGCAUAAUGAAAGCAGAUAUCUAGAAACUCUUUCCACUUUGAAUGUAUUAAUGACUUGCUUUGAAGUUGAGUUUGUCAAGAAUUUAAUCCUUUUCUGUAAAUCUCUGUCCCUGAAUCAAUCAAACCUGUGUGUCUGUCUUAUCAGACUAUAUUAUGACAGCCUAAAAAAUUGUGGCUUUUGUUAUUUAACUUCAUGCAUUUUUCUGCAAGAAUUGAGGUUCUAGAAGGCAUCUUCUUCUUUAUUUAUUUGGAGUUUGUUAAGGUUAAUGAAUCUUGCGUUGACCCUUAUAAUAUGAUGCGGUCGACUCUAACGAAUUCUUGGAUCCAUUUUCUUUUCUUUUCUUUUUUAACUUUGGCCCCUCAUGUAUCACAAUAAUGCAUGAUUUACUUUGACCUUUGUGUAAUGUAUUAGAAAG
rnacentral:lncRNA from 1 species